AACGCGAAGAACCUUACCUGGGCUCGAACGGCCGGUUAACGUAAGUGGAAACAUUUAUACCCCGCAAGGGGGUCCGGUCGAGGUGCUGCAUGGCUGUCGUCAGCUCGUGUCGUGAGAUGUUGGGUUAAGUCCCGCAACGAGCGCAACCCUUGUCCUGUGUUGCCAUACCGAAAGGUGGAACUCGCAGGAGACCGCCAGCGAUAAGCUGGAGGAAGGUGGGGAUGACGUCAAGUCCUCAUGGCCUUUAUGUCCAGGGCUACACACGUGCUACAAUGGACGGUACAAAGCGUCGCUAACCUGCAAAGGGGAGCCAAUCGCAGAAAACCGUUCUCAGUUCGGAUUGCAGGCUGCAACUCGCCUGCAUGAAGCUGGAAUCGCUAGUAAUGGCAGAUCAGCACGCUGCCGUGAAUACGUUCCCGGGCCUUGUACACACCGCGCAUA
rnacentral:rRNA from 1 species